rnacentral:lncRNA from 1 species
GUGCGCACGCUCACACCUGCGCCGCGCACACGCGUGCACACCGCACACGCGCAGGGCGGCCCGGCACGGCCGUCUGGCCCGACCCCGUCGCGUCACUUGUGGGAAAGGAAAGACGAGCCGGUGGGAGGCGCGGCUGGGGCGCUGGCUCCGGCCUGGCCGGGUUCUGCGGCUGCCCCGUGUGGCUUCCCGGUGGCCGGGUCCCUGCCGGGGCCAUGGGCACCGUCUGGGAGUCGUUUUUGAUUAGACAUUGAC